rnacentral:rRNA from 2 species
GACGAACCGUGCAAACGUUGUUCGGAUUCACUGGGCUUAAAGGGCGCGUAGGCUGUUCGUUAAGUCGUGGGUGAAAUCUUUCGGCUCAACCGGAAAAUUGCCUGCGAUACUGGCGAACUCGAGGGAGGUAGGGGCAGCGGGAACUACCAGUGGAGCGGUGAAAUGCGUUGAUAUUGGUAGGAACGCCGGUGGCGAAAGCGCGCUGCUGGAUCUCUCCUGACGCUGAGGCGCGAAAGCUAGGGGAGCAAACGGG